CAGCCGCCGCGGUAAUACAGAGGGUGCGAGCGUUAAUCGGAUUUACUGGGCGUAAAGCGUGCGUAGGCGGCUUCUUAAGUCGGAUGUGAAAUCCCUGAGCUUAACUUAGGAAUUGCAUUCGAUACUGGGAAGCUAGAGUAUGGGAGAGGAUGGUAGAAUUCCAGGUGUAGCGGUGAAAUGCGUAGAGAUCUGGAGGAAUACCGAUGGCGAAGGCAGCCAUUUGGCCUAAUACUGACGCUGAGGUACGAAAGCAUGGGGAGCAAACAGGAUUAGAUACCCGCGUAGUCCCUGUCUCUUAUAC
rnacentral:rRNA from 1 species